rnacentral:rRNA from 1 species
AACGUAGGUGGCAAGCGUUGUCCGGAGUUACUGGGCGUAAAGGGUGCGCAGGCGGCGGUGCGCGUGGCGAGAUGAAAUCUCCUGGCUUACCUGGGAGGGUGGUCGCCAGACGGCAUCGCUUGAGGGUCGGAGAGGGGCGUGGAAUUCCGGGUGGAGCGGUGAAAUGCGUAGAGAUCCGGAGGAACACCGACGGCGUAGGCAGCGCCCUGGACGACACCUGACGCUGAGGCACGAAAGCGUGGGUAGCAAACAGG